AGUUCUUAUAAAUUAAUGUACUUGAGGUUUUUAUGGUAGUGAGGAGGGCCUAAUGGCUUGAAUUAAAUAGGGCAUUAUUAUGAUGUACUAUUUUAAAACAGAGAACUAUUCUUAGGAUGCCCUAAUAUAACAAGGACAGACUGAUCUGAUUCCCUUGCCAGUUCUAGAGAUCCUCAGUAGUUUGUUAGCAUAGAGGAAACGGAUGAACAAAUGGAAUGACAAAAUGCAACUUCUUCACUCGGUUCAAGAAGCCAGAAACUCUGUACUAGAAACAAAGUGGUGUGAGCUAAACACAAGCCAGGAGAAUCUCAAGUCUCAGCUUCAGCAAAUGAGGGACAGAAACCGUACCCUAGAAAUGAAUUGUCAUGACUUAAUAGCAAAGCAUGAGAAUCUCAAGAUGGAAGUUCAGAAAAUGAGAUUGGACAUUCGGGUAUGAAUAACUGCCAGUUAUGUUCAAUGCAAUAAUACAUUUGGAACUCGCUGAAUAUGCUCUCCUAAGACAGAUUGGCAAGUGGUAAAAGACACAUGCUUUGAGUUCUUGAGCUACAUGUCAUUCUCAGGAACUAAUAUGUGAGGAAGAAUGUGGCUGCUCUCUAAAGGCUAAAUCUUUCUCAGAUGGCAACCCUACUGUUGAAAUUCUACCCUAGGGGCUUGCAAGUUGGAAUACUCCCACACCUUCCAAUGAAUAAAGAAAUCCUCCCUUCAUUACAGGAAAUAGCUUUUGGGAGGGGGAAAGAGAUUUUAGUCUAUCUUCUCCUUGAUAUACAUUAGUUUUCUUUCAUCUAUCUAUCUAUCUAUCUAUCUAUCUAUCUAUCUAUCUAUCUAUCUAUCUAUCUAUCUAUCUAUCAAAUGUGUACAUAGCCGCCCAUCUCAAAGGAAGUGAUUCUGGGUGUACAACAAUCAAAUAAAAAAUAAUAUGCACAUAAACAGAGCAUUUAAGAAGUCGAAAAAGUGAACAUUAAAAAAAGGAAACUAAUUAAAAUUAAAAAUACAGAAACUCCAGGCAGAGAAAGAAUACAGUAAAUAUAUCCUGCUCCCGCACAGUGCUCUCUGAAAGGCCUAGAGAUGCUGCCUUGGUGGGAACUGGAUUGAGAGACCAGUUCUAAAUCACUGGAAAGGACCUUCGCCAGUCAUCCUUGUACCAUUGGCUAAGUGGCAGUCUUCUUUCCCCGUGCAAAUACAUUUUUAAAUGGUAUCAUUUGUAAAUCUCACUUCUCAUCCAAUUUGGGAUAAUGUGUAUGAAUGAACUCUUGUGUUAAUUUGCCAGAUUUGGAUGACAUAUUUGUUUUAUUGAAGAAGGAGACUAUUGCUUAUGGAUCCUAACUUUUAAAAUCAUGGUUUUGGGUGUUUAAUAUAUCUUUUCAUUGAUAUUUUAGUUUUUAUUUCUAUUUAUUUAUUUACAUUUCUUGGUUUUCCAACUUCCAACAUAAAUUGUAGACAAUUAGAGUAUAGUAUAUUGACUGCAAAAGCUAGCCAUCAUUUUCUAUAUUCUAAAUUAAAUAUAAAUUUCUUUCUUCAAUACUUCAAUACCAUCAUCUAAUUACCUUCUUUUUUAACAUCAUAGUAAAAUUGUUUAUUAAGAUUGGAAUAUCUGUAUAUAACUAUCAUUUUUAUUUCUUCAUUAUACAUUUUAAAA